rnacentral:rRNA from 1 species
GCUGUCGUCAGCUCGUGUCGUGAGAUGUUGGGUUAAGUCCCGUAACGAGCGCAACCCUUGUCCUUAGUUACCAGCACGUUAAGGUGGGCACUCUAAGGAGACUGCCGGUGACAAACCGGAGGAAGGUGGGGAUGACGUCAAGUCAUCAUGGCCCUUACGGCCUGGGCUACACACGUGCUACAAUGGUCGGUACAAAGGGUUGCCAAGCCGCGAGGUGGAGCUAAUCCCAUAAAACCGAUCGUAGUCCGGAUCGCAGUCUGCAACUCGACUGCGUGAAGUCGGAAUCGCUAGUAAUCGUGA